rnacentral:rRNA from 1 species
UACGAAGGGGGCUAGCGUUGUUCGGAAUCACUGGGCGUAAAGCGCACGUAGGCGGAUCUUUAAGUCAGGGGUGAAAUCCCGGGGCUCAACCUCGGAACUGCCUUUGAUACUGGGGAUCUCGAGUCCGGGAGAGGUGAGUGGAACUGCGAGUGUAGAGGUGAAAUUCGUAGAUAUUCGCAAGAACACCAGUGGCGAAGGCGGCUCACUGGCCCGGAACUGACGCUGAGGUGCGAAAGCGUGGGAGCAACAGG